UUAUGGACUUGGUCGGCACAUGGUUCUUCCUGUCUCACUUCACGGACUCCCACGUGGUGCCGCUGUUGCUAGCUGCAUUUAUGGAGCAACUGACAGCUGGCAUGCAUCCCUUUUAGCUGCUGCUCUUAUUGGCUUCAUGGGUCCUUCAUCUGCAAUCGGAGCCAUACUUGCAGGUAUCGACUACAGUGGUUUGGAUCACCUUAUGAUGUUUGCAUGUGGAGGAUUACUUCCAUGUUUUGGGAGCAUUUUCAAGAGGGCAAUGAGCCUCCAAAAGCAGAAGAGCAUAACAGGACUGAUAAUAGGCAUUUUGUUUGCGAGUAUUUGUCUAGCAUUCACAAAGUUGGUUUGCUUGCAUACGCCUUACUGCAACUCUGCACCAGAAGCUGUUAGGUGAUGAAAGUUGAGUAAAAUGAUAACGUUUUGGAUCAAAAAGAUCUCUCGUUAACUCUGUUUGGACGCAGCCUUGUGGACGUCAAACUUACUGGAAGCUGUUGAGUUGAUUUUUGCAGCAAACUACUUACAAAAAGAAAGCAUAGGAAGUUGAGGAAAAAGAUGGGAUUGUCUAUUGUACAUUAGUUAGAGACUUUG
rnacentral:misc_RNA from 1 species